UAGUCUCCUUGCCGAGAAAUAUUGAGUUAAUUCAGAGUUAAGACUUUGCACAGCGUGAGGAGUUUACAAAUAAACGUCAUUUCCUAGGGUCAAAUCUGCUUCCAGCAGAUCUGCAGCUGCCGGGGAGGGGCCAGCGCUGAGUCAGGCUGUGAGGCCGCAGGCCCGUGCUUGCAGCCAUUUCUGCCUGAGGCUCCCGGGGCCUGGCUCACCGUCUGCUGUGCAAAUAAAGUGACAGCAAAUACACGGAGUCUUUUAUGGACGGCUCUUCAGUAACUGAGCACAGCAGGUCACCUGCAUAUUGUUAAAGGGGCCUGGAGGCUGCUGACAUCAUGGUGGAGCCAUUGGGAGAAACCAGGAGGGCCUCUGUGAACGUCUCGGGCACGACUGCCCAGGCCCAUUGCUGACUGACUGUUCCAAGCAAAGGCAAGCAGUACGCGGGCCUCUCACUGCUGUGGCCUCUCCCGUUGCGGAGCACAGGC